GGGCAUGGCUUAAGUGGUAGAGCACCUUCCUAACAAGGAGAAGGCUCUGAGUUCAAACCCCAGUACCAUCA
rnacentral:tRNA from 1 species